rnacentral:lncRNA from 1 species
CCGCCCCGCGCGCGAGAGGUCCGCUGCCGCGCCUGCCGGCAGCACCGGGAGGGUUUUUUUUUAAGUUAGAAAAUUAAGUUAUAUUUUUACGAUAGAUUUUUAAUUUUGAUUGUUAAGCUAGAAAAUUAAGUUAUAUUUGUAAGUUAGAUUUUUUAGUUAGUUUGUUAAGUUAGAUUUUUAAGUUAGAAAAUGAAGUUAGAAAUUCGUAGGAUGCACCGCCGUCCCCUCCGCCGUCCCGCCGCCGUCCCGCCGCCCGUCACAACCUAGUAGGCACCGCCCGUGGUUCCGGUGAACCGUCCCCGCCUCCGCCGUACCGCCGCCCUGACCGCCGCCGUCACAACCUAGUAGGCACCGCUCGUGGUUCCGGUGAACCGUCCCCGCCUCCGCCGUACCGCCGCCGUCCCGCCUCCGCCGCCCUGAUCGCCGCCGUCACAACCUAGGCACCGCACGUGGAUAUUGUUAGAAAUUCGUAGAAAUUCGUAGAAAUUCAUAGAAAUUUGUAGAAAUUCGUCAAAAUUCGUAGAAAUUCGUAGAAAUUUGUAGAAAUUUGUAGAAAUUCAUAGAAAUUCAUAAAAAUUCAUCAAAAUUCAUAGAAAUUCAUAGAAAUUCGUAGAAAUUCGUCAAAAUUCGUAGAAAUUCGUAGAAAUUUGUAUAAAUAUUCCGGACUUUGUACGAUUCAUGUUAUUUUAUGAUUUCAUUAUAUACAUGUAUGAUUCCGGACUUUGUAGGACUUUGUAGAAAUUUGUAGUAAGACGAUUUCUAUGACUGUCAUGUAUGAUUCCAUGUAUGUUUCCAUCGAUAGUUGAAAUGGCAGAUGAUGAGACCGCAAGGUAUAUCAUGGAGCAGAUAAUCGCUGGUGAUGGUAGUGGCGACAACGUUCCACUAUCAUACACGGAUGAAGAGGGCACCCAGGCGGACAUGUUCCUCAACAUGUCCGCCGAUGGGAAUGAAGAGCAACAGCCGCAACAACAACUUGCCAUGGCGGAAGGUUCCGGCGAGGUAUAUACAACCAUUCUUGUAUUG